rnacentral:rRNA from 1 species
UACGGAGGGUGCGAGCGUUGACCGGAAUCACUGGGCGGAAAGGGCGCGUAGGCGGCUCGGAUAGUCGGCGGUGAAAGCCCGGAGCUCAACUCCGGGUCGGCCGUCGAUACUUCCGGGCUUGAGCACUGUAGAGGCAGAUGGAAUUCCGGGUGUAGCGGUGGAAUGCGUAGAGAUCCGGAAGAACACCGGUGGCGAAGGCGGUCUGCUGGGCAGUUGCUGACGCUGAUGCGCGACAGCGUGGGGAGCAAACAGG